rnacentral:rRNA from 1 species
GGAAUCUUGCGCAAUGGGCGAAAGCCUGACGCAGCCAUGCCGCGUGAAUGAUGAAGGUCUUAGGAUUGUAAAAUUCUUUCACCGGGGACGAUAAUGACGGUACCCGGAGAAGAAGCCCCGGCUAACUUCGUGCCAGCAGCCGCGGUAAUACGAAGGGGGCUAGCGUUGCUCGGAAUUACUGGGCGUAAAGGGAGCGUAGGCGGACUGUUUAGUCAGAGGUGAAAGCCCAGGGCUCAACCUUGGAAUUGCCUUUGAUACUGGCAGUCUUGAGUAUGGGAGAGGUAAGCGGAACUCCGAGUGUAGAGGUGAAAUUCGUAGAUAUUCGGAAGAACACCAGUGGCGAAGGCGGCUUACUGGCCCAUUACUGACGCUGAGGCUCGAAAGCGUGGGGAGCAAACA